rnacentral:rRNA from 1 species
GCUGGCGGCGUGCUUUACACAUGCAAGUCGAGCGAGGCGGGUAGCAAUACCCAGUCGAGCGGCGAACGGGUGAGUAACGCGUGGAUUAUCUGCCCUGAGGUGGGGGAUAACCCGGGGAAACUCGGGCUAAUACCGCAUAUGACCGUGAGGUCAAAGGGGGGUCGCAAGAUCUCUCGCCAUAGGAGGAGUCCGCGUCCGAUUAGCUAGUUGGUAGGGUAAUGGCCUACCAAGGCGACGAUCGGUAGCCGGCCUGAGAGGGUGAUCGGCCACACUGGAACUGAGACACGGUCCAGACUCCUACGGGAGGCAGCAGUGGGGAAUUUUGCGCAAUGGGCGAAAGCCUGACGCAGCAACGCCGCGUGGAGGAUGAAGGUCCUUGGAUUGUAAACUCCUGUCAGCAGGGAAAAAGCGACUUA